GAGGAGUCUACCAUUUCCUCAAUUCUCAGGCCUGUCACAUUAACAAUUGCUCCCAUAAUUUUUCACAUCAGCAACUUCAUCCCCUCUGUUCUUCAAUUUAUUCUUCAAUUCUUUCACGUUAAAUUUCCAGCGGUUACGCCCCCUCAUUUUCUCCACGGUUACGAAACUGAUUUAUCAUUCAGCAACCACUUCCAAUCUUCUUCUUCUACAACGGUUUCGCAAAACCGUUUCUCUUUCAAAUGCUAUUCUCUCCCUUUUCCCAUUAUCAAUCGCAUCGCUUCAUAAUCAUACCUUCUCAAUCAAAUUUGUUUUCUGAAUUCUUCAAUAUUCAUGAAAUUACCUGCACAAUUUCAUUUUCCUAAUCGAUCGACGAUUUUUCGUUGUUUGUUCGUGUUUUCAUUUUCAUUCUACGCCAUUCCGAGUCAGUCUUCCUCUGCGCGCAAAUCUGCUACUCUCAGUGAUAGAAUCGGUUUGUGCUAUGUCGUCAAGAAUCGUUUAACUUCUUCUAACGAGGGUACUGAUCUCAAACUCUCGGUGGAUCUCUUGGAAAAAGAAAGAGACUUUUGCUUUUCAAAACUACGGGAUAUAUAGAUUCUUUGUCAUGCAUCAGAGCUGGAGAAUGAACCUUUUCUGUUUCGUCUUCUCCUCCUACUGUGCAGCAGAGUUUGCGCGGAGCGCCAUCAUCGGUAACAAAUCUUCAGCAGCAUAUUAAACAAAUCGUACAACUUCUUCCGCUCACAACUAAACACACGCGGGAACUUCCGACUCGCGACGCACCUUCAUCGUCAUCUCGUGAGAACAACAUCUUCAGCCACACGAUUGUAACCUAAUAUACAACGACAUCACCAGAAAAGCACGGUUGCGACAUCAGAUUCACGAACAACAAUUUGCGAAUUCGUCAACAAGCUUCCAUUCGCACCCUGAUCGAAGCAAUUAUUGGGUUUUGUUUGAAUUUUCAGAUAAGGUCUAGCCUAGGACUAAUAGCUAACAGAACCCUUGGUGUAAGUGCUCCCAGUGGGGCUAUCACUUCUAUUCCUUCAUGGAUUCAACUACGGCGUAUGCUCAAGACCGGGACAUCAAUGUCAUUUCCACCAGCUUGUGGAGGAAUUGCAUUGCUCAUAAGUAAAAUGAAGACAGAGGGAAUUUUUGUGUGUCCAUAUGAUCUGAGGAAAGCCCUGGAGAAUGUAACUGUUCCAAACGGCAAUUCAUCGGAGGAUAAAUUAUCACUGAGCCAAGUUAACAAGUUUGAUAUUUUCUCUGUCCAACUCUUCAAAGAAUUUUGUAGUAAAUGGUAAUAUUAUAAGAUUUGUUAUAGACUUGAAUUAAGAAGCUUGAUGUCAAACUCAGUAGAUACAAAGAACAGAUCAAGAAAACAAGGUAUGGUCCUACUCUCGAAGCUAUUAAAUCUAGAGCCAUGCGAUUUCUUAAAUAAAAGAGAAUGUGAGUCUAUUGUUCUUUGUUUUCUUAGUUUAUUUGUCGUUGUUGAGUUGUCACAUUGUACACACACUAACAAUACUUUGAGUUUUUACUUUAAAUACGCUCAACUACUUUAUCAUGCAGCUAAUAAUCUUCCUUAGCUCAAUACAUUAUACAUGAAGUGAAUAUUAUAUUGUUGUUUUAAUAUACCAAUACACUAUGCUUUGAUCAGGUAUGAAGGUCAACGCGACAUGUUGUACAAUCAGACAUUUAACCUCGAUCAAGUUUAAUUUGCUGCUGGGGGAAUUAAAGAUGCUCAACAAAUUAUAAGGUUUCCACCAAGUCGAAGACUUUUAGGUCUCCGCAACGCAUGGCACACCGCAGAAUCAAGGAUCUGUUGUCUUCUAAAUACUGGAAUGUUGCUCCAAAAUUGAAGUUAUGCCAACUAUCUAGAUCUGGUGCUGGCUGAAUCAGAUAUUAAACCAUGUUGCAUGACUGCUGAACUGAAAUAUUACGACUGUUGUACCGAAUGAUGCAGGGACUGAACCGAAUCAUACAGCUGCUGUACUUAAAGAUUUUCUGUAGAUUGAUUAAACACUUGAUUUCAAUGUUGAUGUUUCAACCUCUCUUCCCUUGAUGACUUAAAUUUCAGGAAAGAAGAAUUGUUACGAAUUUUGGAUCAAUUGCUAAGAGACAAGGAUGAUAUAAUUAUGGCUACACCUUAUACAGGCUGCAUUGCAGUGCUUUCAACAAUGGAAACAUUAUCGUAAAAGUCUUUGGUCAGUCGGUGCGGUUAAGAAAGCAGUGAUACAUUGACGUUUAAAGAGAAAAGGCUUUCAUGCAAGAAGAUUACAUGAGGAUGAAGUUGGCACCCAAGCAAGCAAAGCGUGACUAUAAUGUGACCAUAAUUGAGGUUGCACAGUUGUUAUUCUAUGCAAUAUCGAGAGCUGCGACCUCUGCUUCCAAUGCAUUCAGCAGAUUGGUUUUCACCUAGAACAAUGAAGAGAAAAAUGAAGAGGAUACAAGAUCUACAAGGCAGUAUAGUUCCUUCAAUCUAAGUGGGAUCAAUUCCCAUUAAAUCUAACUUAUGUGUUGGUAACCUCUAGGGGUACCUGGACUAUGUCAACAGAAAAGCAAAACUGAUAACAUCAGAGUAAGACUUCUUAAUAGUGUAAGUUCACAGGCAGGCUAAUGUUAGUCUCAUACUUUAUUUCUUUUUACACGAACACCACUUCUCAAAAACAAGGAACAAGAAAACUGCAGACUGCAUAAAUUCUUGAGAUUGAAUUGUGGCAUCGGAUACGCAACAAUCAUCAUCAGCAUCAUCAACAUCUAAUAUUGAAGCUGCACAUGGAGCUCUAUGUAGCAUAAUUUGUACUCAGCCUAGAAGAAUAUCUGCUAUAUAUGUUUCUGAAAGAGUAGCGGCAUCCAUGAGCUAUUUUGUUAGCAUGCUUUUGGUUUAGAUUUUACAUUGUCAGUGGAGUAUACCGGAUAUAGUGGUGUGAAAAUUUUGAUCUCUUUUAUUUUCUCAUUA